AGUGAACGCUGGCGGUGGGCCUAACACAUGCAAGUCGAACGGCAGCACAGUAAGAGCUUGCUCUUACGGGUGGCGAGUGGCGGACGGGCGAGGAAUACAUCGGAAUCUACUUUUUCGUGGGGGAUAACGUAGGGAAACUUACGCUAAUACCGCAUACGACCUACGGGUGAAAGCAGGGGAUCUUCGGACCUUGCGCGAUUGAAUGAGCCGAUGUCGGAUUAGCUAGUUGGCGGGGUAAAGGCCCACCAAGGCGACGAUCCGUAGCUGGUCUGAGAGGAUGAUCAGCCACACUGGAACUGAGACACGGUCCAGACUCCUACGGGAGGCAGCAGUGGGGAAUAUUGGACAAUGGGCGCAAGCCUGAUCCAGCCAUACCGCGUGGGUGAAGAAGGCCUUCGGGUUGUAAAGCCCUUUUGUUGGGAAAGAAAAGCAGCAGGUUAAUACCCCGCUGUUCUGACGGUACCCAAAGAAUAAGCACCGGCUAACUUCGUG
rnacentral:rRNA from 1 species